GGAGUUUAAAAAACAAGUGGCACUAGGAUCUGUCACCCCAUUGAUCGCCAGGGUUGAUUGGGCUGAUCUGGCUGGCUAGGCAGGUGUCCCAUCCUCUCUCACUGCUCCAUGUGCGUCCCUCCCAAAGCUGUGCACUCAGUGGAAAAGGACAACCUUAUAGAGGACCGUUCUUUGCUCAAGGGCAUAGAGUAGCUGCACUCUCCUGCUAGAACCUCCAAACAAGCUCUCAAGUCCAUUUGUAAAGGAACAUAGGAUAGUCACGUUUUUCCAAGACUCCAGACAUGUCCAAAUGAGGCACUGCAUGUGGCAGUCUACCUUUCUUU
rnacentral:snRNA from 1 species